GGCGAGCGAACGGGGAGCAGCCCAGAGCCUGAAUCAGUGUGUGUGUUAGUGGAAGCGUCUGGAAAGGCGCGCGAUACAGGGUGACAGCCCCGUACACAAAAAUACACAUGCUGUGAGCUCGAUGAGUAGGGCGGGACACGUGGUAUCCUGUCUGAAUAUGGGGGGACCAUCCUCCAAGGCUAAAUACUCCUGACUGACCGAUAGUGAACCAGUACCGUGAGGGAAAGGCGAAAAGAACCCCGGCGAGGGGAGUGAAAAAGAACCUGAAACCGUGUACGUACAAGCAGUGGGAGCACGCUUAGGCGUGUGACUGCGUACCUUUUGUAUAAUGGGUCAGCGACUUAUAUUCUGUAGCAAGGUUAACCGAAUAGGGGAGCCGAAGGGAAACCGAGUCUUAACUGGGCGUUAAGUUGCAGGGUAUAGACCCGAAACCCGGUGAUCUAGCCAUGGGCAGGUUGAAGGUUGGGUAACACUAACUGGAGGACCGAACCGACUAAUGUUGAAAAAUUAGCGGAUGACUUGUGGCUGGGGGUGAAAGGCCAAUCAAACCGGGAGAUAGCUGGUUCUCCCCGAAAGCUAUUUAGGUAGCGCCUCGUGAAUUCAUCUCCGGGGGUAGAGCACUGUUUCGGCAAGGGGGUCAUCCCGACUUACCAACCCGAUGCAAACUGCGAAUACCGGAGAAUGUUAUCACGGGAGACACACGGCGGGUGCUAACGUCCGUCGUGAAGAGGGAAACAACCCAGACCGCCAGCUAAGGUCCCAAAGUCAUGGUUAAGUGGGAAACGAUGUGGGAAGGCCCAGACAGCCAGGAUGUUGGCUUAGAAGCAGCCAUCAUUUAAAGAAAGCGUAAUAGCUCACUGGUCGAGUCGGCCUGCGCGGAAGAUGUAACGGGGCUAAACCAUGCACCGAAGCUGCGGCAGCGACGCUUAUGCGUUGUUGGGUAGGGGAGCGUUCUGUAAGCCUGUGAAGGUGUACUGUGAGGUAUGCUGGAGGUAUCAGAAGUGCGAAUGCUGACAUAAGUAACGAUAAAGCGGGUAAAAAGCCCGCUCGCCGGAAGACCAAGGGUUCCUGUCCAACGUUAAUCGGGGCAGGGUGAGUCGACCCCUAAGGCGAGGCCGAAAGGCGUAGUCGAUGGGAAACAGGUUAAUAUUCCUGUACUUGGU
rnacentral:rRNA from 1 species